UACGAAGGGGGCUAGCGUUGCUCGGAAUCACUGGGCGUAAAGGGUGCGUAGGCGGGUCUUUAAGUCAGGGGUGAAAUCCUGGAGCUCAACUCCAGAACUGCCUUUGAUACUGAGGAUCUUGAGUUCGGGAGAGGUGAGUGGAACUGCGAGUGUAGAGGUGAAAUUCGUAGAUAUUAGCAGGAACACCGGUGGCGAAGGCGGCUAUCUGGACGACAACUGACACUGAGGCGCGAAAGCGCGGGGAUCAAACAGG
rnacentral:rRNA from 1 species